rnacentral:lncRNA from 1 species
UGCACAACCUUCCAUCUCCAAUUACGGUGGUCAAACCUAGUCAUACACUGCUAACAGGUUGCCAGAAUUCUCGGACUCCUCGAGCCCGGCACUGAUGAGCAGCAAAGCAGGGCGAGCUGGACUCAGCUCUCUUUGUCCCAACGCCGUCCUGUCCCAAGGACAACCCACCCCCAGCUCCUGCAGGUGUGCUGCUUCAGCGGUCCAGACAUUUGGAAUGUGCUUCCCAGCUUCAUCCACUGUCCUGGGAUGGACCAGGAAGGCCUUGGAAGAGGUUCUCCAGGUCCUUGUGAGGAGCACACAGAAGGAAUUCCUUAGUCUGCUGAGUAGCUGGAGGAGACCAGAAAGCCAAUGACAACUUCAUUCCUCUCCCCUACCUCGCAAUGAAGCCUCUGUUAGUUCUGAAAGGUCUCAAGAAUUGAAGUGGAGAAUGGAGGAGAAACUAAAGGAAAGGUAGUCUGACUGUAAUCCUUGCCUUGUACUAUUUUCAUAUAGUGGUAGAGAGAAAAAUACUAAAUGGAAUGGUUCUCUUCCUCCAAUAUUACAU